UUCUCAGUAAUAACUAUGAAAGUGUUUGUAGGUUUUUGAUAUUCAACAUAUACACUAUGUCAAGGGUCUCCAACCCUAUGCCUGCAGGUGCCAUAGUGGCCGUCACUUGUUUAACGUGUGCCCGCCGCUGUGCGACCAUGAUAAAAAUAUCUAGAGGCACGGCAGUGCAGCCGCCAAGUAGAGCAGGCACGGCCGUACAUCCUUUUCUGGAAGCAACUCAGGGUACUUGUCACACCUUCAUAUCUUUGUGUUGGAGUUGCCGAAGAACUUGAAAUUUUUUUUAUCUAAAGUAGUUGGUAAACGGAAGGAAACCUCUAAAUUUCACACUUCUAUCUUUUCUAAUUCAAAAGAUAUAUAAUAUGUACUCAAAAUUAAAUCCGCAUUCGCAGCUGCAGUUACGCUGACGUUCCC
rnacentral:lncRNA from 1 species